rnacentral:rRNA from 1 species
ACCCGCUGAACUUAAGCAUAUCAAUAAGCGGAGGAAAAGAAACCAACAGGGAUUGCCUCAGUAACGGCGAGUGAAGCGGCAACAGCUCAAAUUUGAAAUCUGGCCCCAGGCCCGAGUUGUAAUUUGCAGAGGAUGCUUUGGGUGAGGUGCCUUCCAAGUUCCCUAGAACGGGACGCCAGAGAGGGUGAGAGCCCCGUACAGUUGGACACCGAGCCUUUGUAAAGCUCCUUCGACGAGUCGAGUAGUUUGGGAAUGCUGCUCAAAAUGGGAGGUAUAUUUCUUCUAAAGCUAAAUACCGGCCAGAGACCGAUAGCGCACAAGUAGAGUGAUCGAAAGAUGAAAAGCACUUUGAAAAGAGGGUUAAACAGCACGUGAAAUUGUUAAAAGGGAAGCGCUUGUGACCAGACUUGCGUCCGGUGAAUCACCCAGCUCUCGCGGCUGGGGCACUUCGCCGGCUCAGGCCAGCAUCAGCUCGCUGUCGGGGACAAAAGCUUCAGGAACGUAGCUCUCUUCGGGGAGUGUUAUAGCCUGUUGCAUAAUACCCUUCGGCGGGCUGAGGUACGCGCUCCGCAAGGAUGCUGGCAUAAUGGUCAUCAGCGACCCGUCUUGAAACACGGACCAAGGAGUCAACCUUAUGUGCGAGUGUUCGGGUGUCAAACCCCUACGCGUAAUGAAAGUGAACCCAGGUGAAAACUUCGGCGCAUCAUCGACCGAUCCUGAUGUUCUCGGAUGGAUUUGAGUAAAAGCAUAUAGGGUUGGACCCGAAAGAAGGUGAACUAUGCGUGUGUAGGGUGAAGCCAGAGGAAACUCUGGUGGAGGCUCGCAGCGGUUCUGACGUGCAAAUCGAUCGUCAAACAUGCGCAUGGGGGCGAAAGACUAAUCGAACCUUCUAGUAGCUGGUUUCCGCCGAAGUUUCCCUCAGGA